rnacentral:rRNA from 1 species
AGUGAACGCUGGCGGUAGGCCUAACACAUGCAAGUCGAACGGCAGCACAGUAAGAGCUUGCUCUUACGGGUGGCGAGUGGCGGACGGGUGAGGAAUACAUCGGAAUCUACUUUUUCGUGGGGGAUAACGUAGGGAAACUUACGCUAAUACCGCAUACGACCUACGGGUGAAAGCAGGGGAUCUUCGGACCUUGCGCGAUUGAAUGAGCCGAUGUCGGAUUAGCUAGUUGGCGGGGUAAAGGCCCACCAAGGCGACGAUCCGUAGCUGUUCUGAGAGGAUGAUCAGCCAAACUGGAACUGAGACACGGUCCAGACUCCUACGGGAGGCAGCAGUGGGGAAUAUUGGACAAUGGGCGCAAGCCUGAUCCAGCCAUACCGCGUGGGUGAAGAAGGCCUUCGGGUUGUAAAGCCCUUUUGUUGGGAAAGAAAAGCAGCAGGUUAAUACCCCGCUGUUCUGACGGUACCCAAAGAAUAAGCACCGGCUAACUUCGU